CUCCGAUCCAAUUCCAGAAUGGAUCGACGGAGAGGCAUGGGGAACCAAGAACACGAAUCUCACCAGCAAACCAUUCUAUCCCCGAGAAUAGAACUCCAUCCGCGACAAGGACCUUCCAUCAAGCAGGGUUUGAUAACUGUUUGAUUUUGAUGUCUCUUUAAUUUUGAUUUAUGAAUAGAUGGAUUCUUUACCAUUUUCUAUUCAAGAUAAUACACAUAGAAAUUACACAAAGAAAAAUAAUACAAACUCGUGUUCCUUAACGUAAUAACAAAUCAAAAAGAUCAUAAAUCUUAUAUUAAGUUGUUCAAUCUUCUAACUUCAACAAUAUUGUUUUUGGUCUCACAAAGUCAAAUCAAGGAUACAUAGAAUAUUUUUUUAUUUGUUAAAAAAUUCGGAUAUACCCGACAUAACCCGAACCCAAACCUUAAAAACCCGAACCCAAUCCGAAGUAUAAAAUAACCCGAACGGGUUCUGUACCUCUCCAUCCGAAAACCCGAAGCACCCG
rnacentral:lncRNA from 1 species